rnacentral:tRNA from 1 species
AGGGUUGUGGCUCAGUGGUAGAGUACUUGCCUGGCACGUGUGAGGCACUGGGUUCAAUCCUCAGCAUCACAU